rnacentral:lncRNA from 1 species
UUCAGAAACGGCGCCAACCUCUCAAAACAAGACGUGACUUUUCGCAAGGAGACACAUCGAUUCAAGAGGAGACGCAACUGUUCAAUCGCACCUAUUCGUAUAGUAUAUAUAGGGUUCAUAUAUGUAAUAAGGGCAAAAGCUGGUGGCAAAAUUGCACAUCUGCAGGAGCUUCAAUGAGCGGCCUUAAAUAAGACCGUUCAAGUAUGGAUGGAAACCCGUGGAUGCUGAAAUCCAGAAGAAAGGUGUAAUGGAAGAGGCUCUCACUGUAGUCUGCAGGCCCAUCAUCUCUUGUAUCCCCUGCAUCAAUUAACACAAGAGACUACUAACGAGAUAAAUACAGAGCAUCAACAAACAAACAGAGUACAACAAAACAAUGAACACUCAACUAGUUUUCUACAAACGAAUUUGCAAGUUAUACUCCAAUAAUUCCAAGCCGAUGUGCAAAUUGUGGUUGGAACUAUUUCUGCAGUGAAUCAAGAUGUGCUCCAUUGACAUUCCACUCUAAAAUACGGCUUCACGUUGGAUGUUAGAAAUAAAG